AGAUGAGUGCAGAGCUACAGUGAAGAUUUCCUGUCCAAAACUGAAGACCACGAGUAAAUGCAGCUCCAUGCCGUGGACUUGAGGACACAGCCCCAUCACCUGUAUACUCAGAGUGAAGACACAAGGUGUUGGACGAGGAGCAGCAGACUGGAUGGAGACGAGGACAUCAAGACUGCUGAAUGAACAAAGACGCAUGAAGGGCCAAGAGAAGACGAGAACGGGAGCGCUUGGAACAAACAUUUGAGUGAAGACACAAGGUGUUGGACGAGGAGCAGCAGACUGGAUGGAGACGAGGACAUCAAGAGAAGGUUGGAGGAGCAGCUGGAGAAACAGAGGGAGGCUCAUCAGAAGCUGCUCAGCCUCCUCCGAGACCAAACUGCUGAAUGAACAAAGACACAUGAAGGGCCUGGAGGAGACGAGAACGGGAGCGCAUGGAACAAACAUUUGAUGAGGGCAGAGUUACCACACCUGACCUGAAGAAGAAGAAGACGACGCCGACGGAGUUCCUUUUCUUCUUCAUCCUCCUCUUCUUCCGCCCUGCGGUUACUCUGACAGUCUAAAAGAAUGAGGGGGGGUGGUUCAAAUUUUUUUUAUUUUGUG